rnacentral:rRNA from 1 species
GAUGAACGCUGGCGGCGUGCUUAACACAUGCAAGUCGAGCGAAGCACUUUAUUUGAUUUCCUUCGGGACUGAUUAUUUUGUGACUGAGUGGCGGACGGGUGAGUAACGCGUGGGUAACCUGCCUUGUACAGGGGGAUAACAGUUGGAAACGGCUGCUAAUACCGCAUAAGCGCACGGCAUCGCAUGAUGCAGUGUGAAAAACUCCGGUGGUAUAAGAUGGACCCGCGUUGGAUUAGCUAGUUGGUGAGGUAACGGCCCACCAAGGCGACGAUCCAUAGCCGACCUGAGAGGGUGACCGGCCACAUUGGGACUGAGACACGGCCCAAACUCCUACGGGAGGCAGCAGUGGGGAAUAUUGCACAAUGGGCGAAAGCCUGAUGCAGCGACGCCGCGUGAGCGAAGAAGUAUUUUGGUAUGUAAAGCUCUAUCAGCAGGGAAGAUAAUGACGGUACCUGACUAAGAAGCACCGGCUAAAUACGUG